GGGCUUGCGCAGCGGCGCAGGCGGUCCUAGAUUGAACCCGUCCGGGGCAACCCGGACUAUGGGCAUAAACGCGCAGGUAAUAAGCGGAUUGGACCCGGGGGCGGUACCCGGCGGCUCCACCAGACCACCCUCGUUGGGGGAAAAUGGGGCCGAAACAGGAUCGACAAACGUCUAAAGCUGUUUGCUUUGUCUCGGUGAGCUACCACCGUUAUCGGUGCAAAAAGUACAGUUGCCAACGACAACCGUGCUCCGGUGGCUCUGGCUGCGUAAGCAGCUCGGGUAACCGAAACCUAAGCCCUGUCGCUUAGCCGCGGCAGGCGGGGCCCCCAGGCGCCUGGCAACAGAAGCCUGGGACU
rfam:Paracoccus contaminans strain RKI 16-01929T=LMG 29738T=CCM 8701T=CIP 111112T, complete genome.